rnacentral:rRNA from 1 species
AUUGAACGCUGGCGGCAGGCCUAACACAUGCAAGUCGAGCGGAUGAAGGGUGCUUGCUUCUGGAUUCAGCGGGCGACGGGCGAGUAAUUCCUAGGAAUCUGCCUGGUAGUGGGGGAUAACGUCCGGAAACGGGCGCUAAUACCGCAUACGUUCAGACGGAGAAAGUGGGGGAUCUUCGGACCUCACGCUAUUAGAUGAGCCUAGGUCGGAUUAGCUAGUUGGUGGGGUAAAGGCCUACCAAGGCGACGAUCCGUAACUGGUCUGAGAGGAUGAUCAGUCACACUGGAACUGAGACACGGUCCAGACUCCUACGGGAGGCAGCAGUGGGGAAUAUUGGACAAUGGGCGAAAGCCUGAUCCAGCCAUGCCGCGUGGGUGAAGAAGGUCUUCGGAUUGUAAAGCCCUUUAAUUGGGGAGGAAGGGCAGUAAGUUAAUACCUUGCUGUUUUGACGUUACCAACAGAAUAAGCACCGGCUAACUUCGUG